UAAAGUUUGAUACAUAUUUCAUACAAAGUUACAUUCAAUCUCAAUUCAUAUUACAUUUAACUUCAAUUCACAAGAUUACAACCCAAGCCAUCCUAACCAUAAAUCCCUAGUCCAAAUUCAGAUUACAAUAGUUACAAAAUUACAACAAAGACAAGCCUCUAACUAGCUUGAUCCCAAUCUAGAAUCCUAUAACAUCUUCAUGGUAGCCCAUCCAAAGUUGAGUCCAAAUGUUAACCUGCAUAAAUGGAUCACCAAAAUUCAGUACCAUAACAAGCUUUGUUCUAACCUUCAUCAUAGCAUAAGUCAUGUUCAAAACUAACUAUCAGCAUUGCAUAAAGUUAACGGCAUCAAAUUCUAACAACAUGUUCCAACAACCUAUUCACAUUACACACAUAUACAUAACUAAUAUUAUACAUUACACAUACAUGAUACAUACAUAUAUACAUUCAUACUUACAUAGGUUGAAGGUGGAUCUUAUCACAAGAGCCCA
rnacentral:lncRNA from 1 species